CUCCAAAGAUUGACACAUAACCUUUUUAAAUCAUUGGGUGGGGGGGGGGGGGGGGGGGGGGUUUGACAAUAUUCUUCAUUAGGAUUUUUUAUUCAUUUGAAUCUCGCAAUUGAUAAAGAGACCAAAGUUUCAGUUCUUUAUUUUUUUGUUUUGAACAGAUCCGGGAGGAACAAACAACGACGCUACGCCUCAAGAUCAUCUCACUUCUUCGACGACUCGAGAAUGCGUUGCUGCCCAUACUCACCAUAUCCAUACUAGCGGUUCAUACUCAUCUCCACCAUACUAUCACCGUAUUUAUUCAAAUAGAAAAAAUAUAACAUAUUCCAAUAUGUUUGGAGAGUUACUAAAAUGAUAUGGCUAACUUGUAAAAUUCAUCAACCGUAAAUAACGUCGGUCUUGCCACCGUGGCUGUAGAAUGCUAAAAUAACAAAACGAUGGCGAGAAAUUUGUAAGUUUUACUGGCAAAGAGCUUGAAGAUAUUAAGAAAACAAACAUGUAUGUUAGAAUUGAACUAUAAUUUUUGUAAAUCGUACUAAAAAUAAAAAAUGCUAUCAAAUUUUUCUUCCAACAAUUUCAUAUAUCUGAUGUGAAUUACUGAGUUUCUUUAUAUGUUUGUCAAUGAUCUUACUUAGGAGUUCGAAGUCGAGCCUUAAAAAUAACUCUUUAAAUAGCUCUUAUUCUCUCCGCAUAUAAAUGUAUGGUGUUUUAGUUUUUUUUCUUGUAUGCAAAAGAUUAACGUUCUACAUUUAAUUAAUGCAUUUUGCUUUAAAAAUGAAAUCAAAAUCAAAUUGUAAAGUGGUAAGUGGUUGAAUUGUUUCGGUAAUAAAAAUAAAUAAAUUAGGUAAACCUAAAAUCAAAAAGUAAUAGACAAAAAUAAAUAUUUAAUUUUUUAAUAGUGUGAAUAACUUUUAAAAUCAAACAUUUGUAUCUGUAGGGAGCACUUCAUUUUUCUCAUUAUAAGCAGGUCCGGCCUGAAAAUUUCUACAAAAACAAAGGUUGGAAGCCUACAAAUAAAAAUGGUGGCCAAAAAGUGUCGAACCUGUCACCUCAGGGAGAAUUGUUAGUUAGUUUGACCAUCUUGCUGAUACAAUUAAGAAUUUGGCCGAAACAUUGAUAUAUUAUCAACGACCAGAAGCCGAGGCUUAUAAUGCUUCUGUCCAGGGCAUAUACUGUAUUAUCCAAAAAAUGUUUAUGUUAUUUCAAUUUAAAAGUCUUUAGUCAGAAAAAAAUUCUUACUUUUUCUUUUCUUUUAUCUAUUAAUUUAGAGUCCUAUUUAAAAUUACCUAUGGAAUAUGUUGUGACUAAAUAUAAAAACAUGUUUCAUAUGCAAAUUUAUAUGGUAACCAAUAUACUUAAAUUAAACCAACCUAUAAUUAUACUAUCGACAUUACCAAUAUACUUGCAUGUGUAUCUCAUCGUCAUUUCCCAGCGAAGAACCCUAUUUCCAAGCCAGCUUGAUUCGAUUCCACUAAAUUUCUGAUUUGAAGAAACCUAAUCCGGAAAAGAUAUCGAUAAUUGGUGUUACCCCAAUUUCCUCUCAUCAUACAAUAGUUCUCAGUCGAAUGCUUUGUGCGCAUAUUCCCGGUUUGAGCAUUACUGUUCUGGGUUUUGGUCCAGUGACAUUGAUGAAUUCAGCUACAACCAUUGGUAGUUCUCCAAUUUCUUAUUAGUAGAUUUUCCAAAUGUACAACAUUGGCAUUCACCUCUGAUUGGAUCACUGCCUUUAAGCUUUUUCCAAAUGAGUGUUUAAGUACUUAUUAUGGUUGUCGUUGAUUUGCUAGAAUAUAUAUUUUGCUUGGUUUUAUCUAUAAAGUUUUGAUCUUGGAUUUUAUCGUUAUAUGUUGUGGACUCGGAAAAGACACAAAUAUGAGUAUUUGUAAUGAUAUUUGAUUCUAAUUCAAGAUAGGCCCGUCUAACCAUCUUGAUGAAAUCAAAUAUUCUGAAUGCAUGGUGAGCUAGCUCGGUGACAAUGAACAUGAUUUUAUAAUCUCGAAAUUGAAAACUAAUUUUGUUUGAACUCUUAUAUACAGUUUUGGAGUAGGUUGUUGCCCAACGCUAGACAGGAGCUCCUCAAGGAUUGACAAGCCGUUCUGUUUGAGCAAGCUCACAAAAACAUUUGCAGUUCCAGAUACAACGGCCUACUGCUUGAAAGCUUCUCGCAGAUUGUUUCAUAUGGGAAGUCCUUCCAACAAAAAUGAUCCACAGGAAGUCUUGCAUGCAACAGAUCAGCAGCCUCAAAAGUUUAAAAUAACUGUAAAUCAGUUGAUUGUACCAUAUGUAUAGGUAUUUGAAACUCCGUGCUCGAGACAGGGAACGUGAGUUUAGGAUGCAAAUUGUUCUUCCUUCAGGGUUCAUGCAAGCUUCGUUGAAGCGAGAAAAAAUUUUAAUUCCACUUCUUCUUUCUCUAUUAAACUACUCUACAGCUGAUGUGUAAACCGCUGGAAGAAUAUAGUUCCCAGCGAGGGUCGAAGUGAUCUGAUUAUAUAUGUGGUGGUGAUAGUUAAAUAGAUCUCGUGUUAAGAGUUUUGCUGUCAUCGGCUUGAUUUGAAUUUGUGCUAUAUCUCUAAAUAUAAAUAUAUCAUAGGCUUAAAUCUGAGCUUUAAAACAUGGGGCUUAAUAGCCGUAGCAGCACAACUUUUGUUUCUCUAGCAUUCCCUGUUUUUUCUUAUGCUCUUUGAAUAUCAACAAAAUUUACAGCUAUAAUACGUGAGUUUAUCUUCGAAAGUCUAUAAAACUGAUUCAAAAUAUUAUUGAAUUAUAUAAAAUAAUAUUUUAAUAAUAAAACAAUUUAAAAUACUAAAUAAAUAUGUAAAAAAAUUUUAAUACAUAUAUAUUUAUUAACUAAUACAUAUCACAUAUAACUAUUUUCUGAUAAAAGAGUGACACGAAAAUUGUAUAAAAAAUAACAAAAUGACACCAAAGCAAAAUAGCAAAUUCCAAAACAAACCCAAAUUCAAAAAUAACUGAGUUAUUACUAUAUUUCUUGAAUUGAAAAUCAAAACUCGCAACCGAAUCGAAACCAAACCAAUAGUCAAAUACAAUCUGAAUGUGAACCAAAAUUUAUAAAAUAUCAUCAAAUCAUAAAAAUUUAGUUUAAAAACAUAAAUUAUAUAUAAAUAUAAACAAUCAUGCGCAAUCGCGCGGGUCAAAAUCUAGUAAUAUAUUAAAUUAGAAUACUCUUACAUUUCCUCCCAGAAUCUACCAACUACAAUCUAACGAAAAUAAGUUAUUAAGAUGGGCAUCACUAAAAUUUUCAGUUGUCAAGAAAAUAAAAAAUCUUCUAAAUAUAUGCUUUUGAAGCGUGUUUAAAGAAACACUACCUUUUUUAAAAUACCGAAAUCA